rnacentral:rRNA from 1 species
AACGGUAACAGGAAGAAGCUUGCUUCUUUGCUGACGAGUGGCGGACGGGUGAGUAAUGUCUGGGAAACUGCCUGAUGGAGGGGGAUAACUACUGGAAACGGUAGCUAAUACCGCAUAACGUCGCAAGACCAAAGAGGGGGACCUUCGGGCCUCUUGCCAUCGGAUGUGCCCAGAUGGGAUUAGCUAGUAGGUGGGGUAACGGCUCACCUAGGCGACGAUCCCUAGCUGGUCUGAGAGGAUGACCAGCCACACUGGAACUGAGACACGGUCCAGACUCCUACGGGAGGCAGCAGUGGGGAAUAUUGCACAAUGGGCGCAAGCCUGAUGCAGCCAUGCCGCGUGUAUGAAGAAGGCCUUCGGGUUGUAAAGUACUUUCAGCGGGGAGGAAGGGAGUAAAGUUAAUACCUUUGCUCAUUGACGUUACCCGCAGAAGAAGCACCGGCUAACUCCGUGCCAGCAGCCGCGGUAAUACGGAGGGUGCAAGCGUUGAUCGGAAUUACUGGGCGUAAAGCGCACGCAGGCGGUUUGUUAAGUCAGAUGUGAAUCCCCGGGCUCAACCUGGGAACUGCAUCUGAUACUGGCAAGCUUGAGUCUCGUAGAGGGGGGUAGAAUUCCAGGUGUAGCGGUGAAAUGCGUAGAGAUCUGGAGGAAUACCGGU